UAAUCUCAUUUGGUAUCUCUGGG
rnacentral:miRNA from 2 species